GUGUCAGCAGCCGCGGUAAUACGGAGGGGGCGAGCGUUGUUCGGAAUUACUGGGUGUAAAGGGUGCGUAGGCGGCUCGUUAAGUCUGAUGUGAAAGCCCUGGGCUCAACUCAGGAAUGGCAUUGGAAACUGGCGAGCUGGAGUAUCGGAGAGGGAAGCGGAAUUCCUGGUGUAGCGGUGAAAUGCGUAGAUACCAGGAGGAACACCGGUGGCGAAGGCGGCUUCCUGGCCGAAUACUGACGCUGAGGCACGAAAGCGUGGGGAGCAAACGGGAUUAGAAACCCUAGUAGUCC
rnacentral:rRNA from 1 species